UUUUUUGAGAUGGGGUCGCACUCUGUUGCCCAGGCUGGAGUGCAGUGGCGAGGUGGCAGUGCCCAGCGCUGGAGUAGUGAGAUCUCGGCUCACUGCAACCUCUGCCUCCCUGGCUCAAGCGAUACUCCCACCUCAGCCUCCCAAGUAACUGGGAUUACAAGCAUUCCCACCUGGGUCUGGCUAAUUUUUGUAUUUUUAGUAGAGAUGGGGUUUCACCAUGUUGACCGGGCUGGUCUCGAACUCCUGAUCUCAAGUGAUCCGCCCACUUCAGUCUGCCAAAUGCUGGGAUGACAGGUGUAAGCCACCACGUCCGGCCUCCUAAGCACAUUAUUUAAGGAUAAAAAGGCAGACAUGAAAAGACUGACCUGAAACAUAAACGCUGGGAAGAUAAACACAAGGGCAUGGGAGCCUUGUGGACGCACAAUCGGGUGGGAAGGGGCGGGGACUGUUUUUAUAACAGAAGCAUAAACCACUUGCGUCCUCAAGUCACACACAUGGGUCUUUGGUUGACAGAGAGAAUGGGGUGGGAGGAGACCGCACACGAGUCCCACCCGAGAGGGGCUGGGCCUUGUAGGGGACACAGGGAAGGAUCCCUGGGCUCCACUUGGGGUGUGGGCAGGGUGAGGGAGCCCCUUCCUCCAUGGGGAAGGGAGGAAAUUCCACCGCAGGGACGCAGGAGCCAGAGCCAGAGAGCAGCAACCCCACCCCUGGUACAGUGGGAACUCAGGGGUGGAGAGCAGGGGCGGCGGCGGGGCCAGUGCUGCCUCUCUGCUGGCUGGGACUCCCCACGCCCAGCUGUCGGUCCCACGGAUACGCUAUCUUCUGCGGCACAUUGCUUCAAGACUCUGGAUCAUUGCUUGUCUUCGUGCGGAUGACAGGAAGAAAGAUGAAGGCAUGAGAGAGAUGGCACUUUAUAAGGGGUCAGAGAAGGGCCUCUCUGAUGAGCGACAUUGGGGCAGAGACUCGGGACCUGAGGCACGUGAAUAACGGGGCUCCCAGCUAUUAAGGAGCCAGCUCGCGGUCACACAAGGAUGACCUCCUUGCCCACCCAGGCUCUACCUUGACCAAUCCAGAAGUCAUGAGGCCUCUGCGCGACUCCCUGCUCUUCUCCCAGGCUGGAGACUGGGGCACUGGCUCGGACCACGGGCCACUGUUUCUUAGAGUCUCCAACAAGAACCGAGCUCUUCAGGGGACCUGGAUGACGUACUGUUUGGGUUCUUGUGUUUGGGGUGUGAUGCAGCCAUCCUGAAAAGCCCCGUCCUGUCAGCUCUGAUCCGCUUCCCUGGGGUUCACCUCCCACUUCCAUGUCAGAACUUCUUUCUGCCUUUUCCCGCGGACUGGGGGGAUCUGAGUGCCUUCCCCCACGUUUCAUGAACUGAAACUGAAGCUGGAGAAGAUAGGGCUUAUCUAGGGUCAAAAGGAGCCCAGGUCCCCGGUUUUUGCGGGAAACUUGUUCUGGGGGCUGGGUGAGCCUGGCCGGGUUAUAUGGGCAUUGGGGGUUGGGUGAGCCUUGCCGGAUUAUAUGGGCUUUGGGGGCUGGGUGAGCCUGGCCAGGUUAUAUGGGCAUCAGGGAUAAAGUGCAGGAGAGGAGUUUGGAGUCCUCCCAUGAGUGAUCAGAGGCCCUUGGGGGCUUGGGUAGGAGCAUCAGAGAGUGGGACAUGCCAGAGCCUUUCUCUGCCUUCAGAAGGAAGAUGAGUGAGGAGGUGCGCGAGGGGAAGAGGAGACUGAACAGAGAAAGAAAUUUGAGAGGAGAGCUCUGGAGAGACAGGCAGAGUAGAUAAUAAGAGCAGCUCCCAGGCACCCCUAUGUAUUUACCAAGCUUUACAGAGCACCAGCCAUGACUGGUCCAGUCCAUCCUCACAGCUGCUCCGUGGCACAGAGGAACUCUGCCAGAAUUGGAGUAAUUUGGUUAAGGCCGAAGCUGAGUGGACACAGAGAGCUUGUCCUGUGUCCUGGGAGGAUGGCAGGAGGAGGCCACAAGUUCCCAGAACCACAGCCCUCACAGAUGGAGGGGGAUUGGGAGAGACCCCUCCCUGCACAGCCCCCAGUAACCAGUGCGUCACCCCAACCUGGGAGGGAAGGAUGAUUACUCUUCCUAAUUUACAGGUCCUGCAUCCGGAUGAAACUACUGACGCCAGCUAGUCUGAAAGAUCCCACAAAGAACUGACUCACGGGAAAAAAAAAAAAAAAAGCCGUUUCCACAUCCUGAUGAAUUCAUCUCCGUGUCCCCACCAAUCAACGGCUCCAGUUUUCCAACCCCCUUGACUUCUUUAUAGGAUCCCCGUAAAAGCCUCAGCCCGGAACUCCUCCAGAGGUGGAUUUGAGGUCUCCUCCCAAUUCCUUGCUCUGUGCUCU